CUUUUUUUUCUCCGCCAAAACCUUUUAGACUUAUUACCCAAAACCUUUAGACCUUCUAAUUUUUUUUGCCGUCUCUCUCACUCUCUCUCUCUCUAGUAUGCAGGCGGCAGCCUCUCUCUCACCAAAUUGGAGUGUCGUUGCUAGAAAAUUCACGGUGUUCUUUUUCUAAUUCUUCUCCAAUUCUGAUUUUGUGUAACCAUGUAUUUUUGUAUUUCUUAAAUUACAUGUGGGUUUUCACUUUAUUUUUUGUUAUUUUGGGUAUUCUCUGUUGGAUUUGAGGUUUCUCUAUUCAUUUGGAGCUUUUUGGUUGAUUUGGGGUUUCUAUGUUGAUUAUAUGCAAUUUAUUAGCUUGAUUUCUCUGUAAACCUAGAAUUUUCUGGCAUGCACUCUGCUUUAUUGCCUCAAUAUCCUAAUGUAUUUUUGUUUUCUGUUUCUUCUUUCAUGUUCUGUAAUGUAACAAAAAUUUACUAAAAAAUUGAUUUGUCGCUGUGUUUUUCAGUUGUGGUAAGUUUUUUCUCCAUUAUUUCUUUAAUUACUGCACUGGUAUCCCUAAUUUUUAACCUUCAUUUUACUUGAUUCUUACAUGCAUAUUUAUGGCAGAUACCUAGUCACAUAUAUGUAUAAUUUUGGUUUUGUGAUGAUGCUAUGUUCUUUCGAUUGGGGAAUUAUGUGAUUUUAUUGGUUAUUGUACAUAUAAAUUGGAGUUAAGGGUUACAACUUGGCAAUUUGUCUAUUUUCCUAUUUUGUGGUUAUGAUAGGGUUCUAUUUCCCUAGUUAAUAAGGAACUAGGGAAUCAUAUUAAAAAAGUGUUUAUAUGGUGGAUUCUGCAGAUAGACUGCUGUGAGCAUAGCAAAAUACUCAUAAACCUUGUUGUUCAGUAAUGUUUUUGAGGAAGAGAGAACAUGACUUAAGAUCGCAGCAUUUGUUUGUUAUAGAGAAACUGUUGAUGUGUUACUUCAAACAUUUAACCAAACAUAGUUUAGAAAAGUACUUUUUUAAUUUACAAAGCCACAUAUUUUCGUAAUUUGCCCACUUUGUCCAGUGAGUAUCCCAACGUUUCCUAACUUCAACAUAGAUGCAGCAAAGUCUUGGUAGAAAAGAUAAGGGUAGGAGCUGUAGGAUUUGACCAUAUCAGCAGUCUGAGAAUUUGACAUUAAUGCUUGAUCAGAUUCAAGAAGACCUGAAUUGUUCACAAGGUUUAUUCUUAGCUUGAUGCAUUUCAGUAGCUAUCUCUUUUUUGCUUGUCUUGGUGUGCAUUUAGUUAGCUUUUUGCUUGUCUUGGUGUGCAUUUAGUUACUUAUUAAUGUUGUGACAAACAAUAUAUAGGAAAAAAUGGAGCUUGCUUUGAGCCAAAGCACGGUGGAUGAGUCUGAAGUUUCGCCGAAUGAUGCUGUUCGUAAAGUGCUAGGAAAAGGGUAAGGGGCUUAGGAUUAGGAGCUGUCCCUAGCAAAGCUUUUAAACAUGCAAGACCUCGUUUUGGUGGUAUGAAUGCUUCAAGUAGUGAUGCUUCAUGUUUGAACCAUUGUCAAGAGAACUACAAUAAAUUGUUGAAUGCGCACAACCAAAGCCAAGAGAACUACAAACAAAUGAUGAAUGCUUUCAAGGCAUAUAUGAUAAUGAAAGAAGGGACAAUACCGGAGCAAUUUGCGGAGUUCUUUGCUUCUCCUCCUACAACGCCUAGAGAUGCAGCUAGUGGAUCCCUGUCACCCACGAGCGCAAGAAGAUAUCUGAUGACAGUAAUCCAAGUGACAACAAUUGAAGUCUUUUAUAAUUGAAUUAGAUAAUUGAUUAUGACAAUGUGAUUAUGUGAUUGGAGCGGAUGUUAGAAUGGCUAGGGUGAAUGUUUUAUGUUAAAAUUUAGUUUGAAAACUAAGUUCGUUUUGAGCAACUAAAUAUAGAGGCAGAAUGCUAUAUCGGAGAUAGCUCUUCCGACGCUACUGUUUGCAGCCAGAAACAUUGCUGAAUCUGCUUUGAGUUUUUUAGGAAUUUUUGCCAUGGGAGCAUUUUUGUGGCCCCAUCAUUUAUAUAUGAAAGUAAUACUUUUGUGAUGCUAAUUAUGUUGUUGAUACUUCUAAGUG